rnacentral:lncRNA from 10 species
UGAACGGGCAUUUGUACAGCUCUUUGCAGUUUUCAGACCAAGUGCACAUCUAUUGCUUCAUCUCAGGGCCAUGCAAGAGCUGGAUGAGAUCCUGUCAUUAUUUAAAAUUUAGAUAUUUUAUUCAUCAUAAAAAUUUUGCAUUUGGGUUAACUUUUAACUAGAAGAGUCCUGUGAGGUGUGCACAGGACCUCCUGUGGUAUUACUGGCCCAUUUCACAAAUAAUGAAACUCAUCUCUCCCACUGGAUUCCAAGCUUUGUGAGGGCAGCUCUGUAGUUCAUACUCUUCUAACCUUCCCAGGUCAACAUGGUGCUACCUGUUGGUUCAUUUAUUUCAAGGUAUAGCAAUGAGAUGGGGAGAGGUGUGUUAAUCAGCCCUUGGGGGGACCAGAGAGUUACAGAGGCUGUCAGAUAGGGAGUAUGACUGAAGAAAAGCCACUUGGGGAACCUGAGGGAGUUCAAAAAUUGGCUGGUCCCAGGAGCCUCUGUUUGAAGCAGGAAUGAGUUCCUUGAGACGAGGCUAAUGUCUCUCUAAAAGCACAUGUGCUAGUGAUUCUGAGAUGACUGUAACCUUGAAGGUUUGCUUGUAUGCUCGUGUGGCACUGAGAUGAACUUUUUGGAGUCACAAGUGAGGUUGUAUGUACUGAAAAUCUUCUACCCUUGAAAUAAGAAUGCAACAGUGUAUGUCUCUGGAUGUGAUUCCAUUUAACUGAGUGUAAUUUAGGUGGACAGGAUUAAUAUCUUAAACCAAGAUGUGGAGACUUUCUGUAUCAUCUCAUUGCACAGAAGUGGGUGGGGUGGUGAGGCAGUAGGUGGUGUCCUUGACUGCCAACUUUUCCUUUGUUGGUCUGAGGUCAUUCUGCCUAUUUGAGGUUGGGAGAGAAAGCGUGGAUAAGAAUUAUUACCUUGAAAAUAUAAGAUAAGGAAAUAAUGUGAAUAUUAUUCAGCAAUAAAAAGACAUAGUUUUUAAGCCACAGAAAGACCUGGAGGAGGCUUAAAUGCACAUUGCUAAGUGAAAGAAGCUAGCCAGUCUGGAAAAGCUACAUACUGUGUGAUUCCAACUAUAUGACAUUCUGCAAAAGGCAAAACUAUGGAGGUAGUAAAAAGAUCAGCGGUUGCAAGAGGUCUAGGGAGAUAGAGGAAGUGAUGAACAG